rnacentral:rRNA from 1 species
AGAACGAACGCUGGCGGCAUGCCUAACACAUGCAAGUCGAACGAGACCUUCGGGUCUAGUGGCGCACGGGUGCGUAACGCGUGGGAAUCUGCCCUUAGGUACGGAAUAACAGUGAGAAAUUACUGCUAAUACCGUAUGAUGUCUUCGGACCAAAGAUUUAUCGCCUAGGGAUGAGCCCGCGUAGGAUUAGCUAGUUGGUGGGGUAAAGGCCUACCAAGGCGACGAUCCUUAGCUGGUCUGAGAGGAUGAUCAGCCACACUGGGACUGAGACACGGCCCAGACUCCUACGGGAGGCAGCAGUGGGGAAUAUUGGACAAUGGGCGAAAGCCUGAUCCAGCAAUGCCGCGUGAGUGAAGAAGGCCUUGGGUUGUAAAGCUCUUUACCCGGGAAGAUAAUGACUGUACCGGGAGAAUAACGCCCCGGCUAACUCCGUGCCAGCAGCCGC